CCGCGGUAAUACGGAGGGUGCAAGCGUUAAUCGGAAUUACUGGGCGUAAAGCGUACGUAGGCGGUGUGUUAAGCAAGAUGUGAAAGCCCCGGGCUCAACCUGGGAAUGGCAUUUUGAACUGGCACGCUAGAGUCCUGAAGAGGGUGGUAGAAUUUCCAGUGUAGCGGUGAAAUGCGUAGAUAUUGGAAGGAAUACCGGUGGCGAAGGCGGCCACCUGGUCAGAGACUGACGCUGAGGUACGAAAGCGUGGGGAGCAAACAGGAUUAGAUACCCUGGUAGUCCACGCCGUAAACGAUGUCAACUAGUUGUUCGUGUCUUUAAGACGUGAGUAACGCAGCUAACGCACUAAGUG
rnacentral:rRNA from 1 species